GAUGAACGCUGGCGGCGUGCUUAACACAUGCAAGUCGAACGGAAAGGCCCUGCUUUCGUGGGGUGCCCGCGUGGCGAACGGGAGAGUAACACGUGAGUAACCCGCCCUUGACUUUGGGAUAACUUCAGGCAACUGGGGAUACCACCGGAUAGGAGCUCCUGCUGCAUGGUGGGGGUCGGACCGUUUCGGCGGUUGGGGAUGGACUCGCGGCUUAUCAGCUUGUUGGUGGGGUAGUGGCUUACCAAGGCGUUGACGGGUAGCCGGCCUGGGAGGGUGACCGGCCACAUUGGGAUUGGGGAGCGACCCGUACGCCAACGGGGGGCAGCGGUGGGAAAUAGUGCACAAUGGGCGGAGGCUGGAUGCAGCAACGCCGGGUGGGGAAGGACGGCCUGCGGGUUGUAAGCCGAUUACGCUUAUAACGAGGCGUGAGGGAGGUAAAUGGGUAAAGAAGCACCGGCUAACUAGUU
rnacentral:rRNA from 1 species